rnacentral:rRNA from 1 species
UACAUGUGGGGCAAGCGUUGUUCGGAAUCACUGGGCAUAAAGGGUGCGUAGGUGGUUGGGUAAGUCUGAUGUGAAAUCUCCGAGCUCAACUCGGAAACUGCAUCGGAUACUAUUCAACUCGAGGGUUGGAGGGGGACUGGAAUGCUUGGUGUAGCAGUGAAAUGCGUAGAUAUCAAGCGGAACACCAGUGGCGAAGGCGAGUCCCUGGACAACUCCUGACACUGAGGCACGAAAGCUAGGGGAGCAAACGGGAUUAGAAACCCCAGUAGU